GGAUUGAAUUAAUGCGUCGUUUAUAGACUAUAUUGCCGAUAUUUAGGGACGAAGUAAAACUCAUUACUAGAAAAAGUCAAACUGUAAAAUAUAAACAAACAUCAAUUUUAAUUUCUUUUAAAUAAGAUAAAUCUCAGCUUCCACUUUUUUUACUGUACACGUUAAAAAAAAAAUCAACCAUACGGAUCAAUCUCAGCUAUUUUACUAUGCCGGCGUUUGAGCAACAAUGGUAGUUAUUUUGCUUCUUUUUAAAAUAUUUUACCUCCUUUGUUGUUGACUGUAUCCAUUUUGUGCAUUGAUUGUUUGAUAAAAUGGUAUGUUUGGCAUUACAGGAGCACCAGGUAUGGUAGCAGCAGCAGGAGAAGGAGAAGCCAUCACCAUUCCUGGUGGUGGAGGGGGGACAAGUGGUGCACCUCCAGGGCCCAUUGGAACAUUCAUCAUUGGCAUAGCAGGCAUUCCAGGGAAAUGCUGUGCAGCAGUGAAAGGAAGAACAUUAGGUAUUGACAAGGGAGGGACGGCAGUAGUUGCUCCCACUAGAGGAACAUUCGGUACAGGAGGUAUCGAUGUAGCAGCAAUUGUUGCUGGAGUAUUAGCAGCAGAUGUUGGAGCAGGAGUGGCGGGUGAAAAUCCUGGAGGCAGAGUACUCUGAGGAGUAACGGCAACUUUAUUCUUUUUAGCGGCUGCUGCUAGCUUUCUUUCCGCAAUAUCUCCGUGACGUUCACCCUUUCCUUCGCGUUUAAAGGCGUAUGACACGGUAAUUGGUUUAUUCAUUAAAAACUGAUUAUUCAUGGCCUCAAUGGCUGCAUCAGCGGUUUCAAAAGAAUCGUAGCUAACAAAACCAUAACCUUUCGACCUUCCAUUCUCGUCUCUUGCUACCUGAGGUGCCUUGACAAGUUGUCCCAAAGCAGAAAAUGUAUCGUACAAUACGCGUUCAUCAACAAGAGGAUCCAAGUUGCCAACAAAUAAAUUUGCACCAAUUAAGGUAUUGACUCCUCUGUCCUGGCUAGCUCUAUUGACCCUUAUAGGCUUUCCAAACAACUUUACUUGAUUCAGAAUUUGACAUGCAUACUCAACAUCUUGUUCGUGUAAGAAUUCGCAGAAACCAAAGCCAUUAUGACUAUUCCUUACUCUAUCUCUUGGAAUAUGAAUAUUUACUGUAUGAAUUAGUAUCGAAAGCCACAAAUACAACCAACACUCGAAUAAUUACAUACCAACUGGACCUGCCUGCAGGCAUAACUCAAACAAAAUAGAAUCCGUUACUUUUUCAUCAAGAUUGCCAAGAUAUAUAGUUGCAUCCUGAUUCCUGUCUUCUCGAAUACUCAUUAAUAAAUAAGUAAAAAUAAGUUAAAGUGUCUAUUAUAGAAAUUUAUUAGAAUAAAUAGAUAGACACGUUUGAAGACGCUGGUAGAAGAUUCAAGAAAUUGGUGCAUAGUC